UACGUAGGGCGCAAGCGUUGUCCGGAAUUAUUGGGCGUAAAGAGCUCGUAGGCGGUUUGUCGCGUCUGCUGUGAAAGUCCGAGGCUCAACCUCGGAUCUGCAGUGGGUACGGGCAGACUAGAGUGUGGUAGGGGAGACUGGAAUUCCUGGUGUAGCGGUGGAAUGCGCAGAUAUCAGGAGGAACACCAAUGGCGAAGGCAGGUCUCUGGGCCACAACUGACGCUGAGGAGCGAAAGCAUGGGGGAGCGAACAGG
rnacentral:rRNA from 1 species